GACGAACGCUGGCGGCGUGCCUAAUACAUGCAAGUCGAACGCAGUGGGGACGGGUGAGUAACACGUGGGUAACCUUCCCAUCAGAGGGGAUAACACUUGGAAACAGGUGCUAAACCGAUACUGAUGGAUGCACCCGCGGUGCAUUAGCUAGUUGGUGAGGUAACGGCUCACCAAGGCCACGAUGCAUAGCGGACCUGGGAGGGUAGUCGUCCAAGCUGGGACUGAGGCACGGCCCAGACUCCUAAGGGAGGCAGCAGUAGGGAAUAUUCGGCAAUGGACGAAAGUCUGACCGAGCAACGCCGCGUGAGUGAAGAAGGUUUUCGGAUCGUAAAACUCUGUUGUUAGAGAAGCGGUAUCUAACCAGAAAGCCACGGCUAACUACGUGCCAGCCGCCGCGGUAAUUC
rnacentral:rRNA from 1 species